rnacentral:rRNA from 1 species
AUGCCUGGGCCUCCACUGCCUUCCACCAUGUCCCUGCCGAGGCCGAGCAGGUGCUACCGCUGCCGCUCGUCGUCAUCGCCGCCGCCGCCGCCGCCGCCGAAGCAGCGAGCCGCGGAGAGCAAGCGGCGGCCUAUCCGCGGAGCGCGGCUGCUGCUGACUCGGAGGGCGCUGGCGGGCGCCAUGGUGACGGUGGCGGCGGCGGGGCGCGCCAGGGCGGCGGAGGAGGACGGCGGCGAGGGGGUGGUGGGCGCCUUCAAGUCGCUGUUCGACCCGAACGAGGAGACCAAGGGCGGGAAGGUGCUGCCCAAGGCGUACCUGAAGGCGGCGCGGGAGGUGGUGCGGACGCUCCGGGAGUCGCUGGGGGAGGGGGACGCCGCCGGCGACUCGGCGAGCUUCCGCAGGGGCGCCGACUCCGCCAAGACGUCCAUCCGGGAGUUCAUCGGCGGCUGGAGAGGCCAGCCCGCCGUCGCCAGAGAGGAGUCGUAUGUGGCGCUGGAGAAGGCCAUCAAAUCGCUGGCGGAGUUCUACUCCAAGGCAGGGCCCUUCGCCUCGCUUCCGGGAGAUGUCAAGAACAAGAUCCUCGACGACCUCAACGCCGCAGAGGCCUACCUCUAG